UCCCAGGUGUUGUAGAAAGCUGUUGUCGAUGACUAUGAAAAGCAGACCAUCAGCCAGCAUUUUCAUUGGGCCAAUUCCAUAAACAGAGCUGCAAAAACUAACUUCCUCCUGCCUAAACUGUCAAAACAUGUGGCACAUAAUAGCAACUCUUCUGGUGUAUCAGCUGACUGCACAGAUGCCCCAAUCUCCAGCAGGAUAUCCUUAAAUUGCACAGCUGGCCUCCAAUUUGAGAUCCUCCUGUCUCAGCUUCCACGUCCCUAUUACAGGUGGGGUCCUGGCUCACAUUACUUUUUUCAGAUUCUGAGCACAUUGGAUGAAGCCCAUACAUCUUGG